GAUGAACGCUGGCGGCGUGCCUAAUACAUGCAAGUCGAGCGAACAGACGAGGAGCUUGCUCCUCUGACGUUAGCGGCGGACGGGUGAGUAACACGUGGAUAACCUACCUAUAAGACUGGGAUAACUUCGGGAAACCGGAGCUAAUACCGGAUAAUAUAUUGAACCGCAUGGUUCAAUAGUGAAAGACGGUUUUGCUGUCACUUAUAGAUGGAUCCGCGCCGCAUUAGCUAGUUGGUAAGGUAACGGCUCACCAAGGCAACGAUGCGUAGCCGACCUGAGAGGGUGAUCGGCCACACUGGAACUGAGACACGGUCCAGACUCCUACGGGAGGCAGCAGUAGGGAAUCUUCCGCAAUGGGCGAAAGCCUGACGGAGCAACGCCGCGUGAGUGAUGAAGGUCUUCGGAUCGUAAAACUCUGUUAUUAGGGAAGAACAAAUGUGUAAGUAACUAUGCACGUCUUGACGGUACCUAAUCAGAAAGCCACGGCUAACUACGUG
rnacentral:rRNA from 1 species